rnacentral:sRNA from 2 species
GCGGGGCGCGUCUAGGGUUCCGCCGGCGAGUCGCGCCGGGCCUGGUCCGAGAGACGCAGGCGGAGCCCGACGGUUCCGUUCCACGGCGGGAGAAAAGCCCGGGAGGC